GCGGCGGACGGGAUAGUAACGCGUGGGAAUGUGCCCUUCUCUAUGGAAUAUCCCUUGGAAAUGAAAAAUUCCCUCNUUGCCCCUCUUGGGGGGAAAGAUUUCUUNAAAAAGGAUNAGCCCCCGUUAAAUUANAUAGUUGGUGGUGUAAUGGCCUACCAUGNCUACGAUCUAGCNNUGGUUUUAAAGGAUUAUCNGGGGCUNUGGGACUGAGACACGGCCCANACUCCUACGGGAGGCAGCAUUGGGAAAUCUUANACAAUGGGUGAUAGCUUGAUCUAGCCAUGCCGCGNGAGUGAUGAAGGCCCCUCGGUCNUACANCUCGUUCGCCAUGGACGUUAAUGACAGUACCUGGUAAACAAACCCCGGCUAACUCCGUGCCACCAGCCGCGGUAAUA
rnacentral:rRNA from 1 species